UACGGAGGGGGCUAGCGUUGUUCGGAAUUACUGGGCGUAAAGCGCACGCAGGCGGUCUGUUAAGUUUGACGUGAAAGCUCCCGGCUUAACUGGGAGAGGUCGUUGAAGACUGGCAGACUUGAGGCGAUGAGAGGGGUGUAGAAUUCCCGGUGUAGUGGUGGAAUGCGUAGAUAUCGGGGGGAAUACCAGUGGCGAAAGCGGCACCCUAGCGUUAGCCUGACGCUCAUGUGCGAAAGCGUGGGGAGCGAACGGG
rnacentral:rRNA from 1 species